CGGUGGAGCAUGUGGUUUAAUUCGAUGCUACGCGAAAAACCUUACCACUUUUUGACAUGAAGGUCGUAUCCCUCCUAACAGGGGGAGUCAGUUCGGCUGGACCUUACACAGGUGCUGCAUGGUUGUCGUCAGCUCGUGUCGUGAGAUGUUGGGUUAAGUCCCGCAACGAGCGCAACCCUCAUUCUUAGUUACCAACAGG
rnacentral:rRNA from 1 species